rnacentral:miRNA from 1 species
ACCCCCUCCAGUCAAUGAGGUACAAAUACCUCAUCAAUUGGAAGGGAUUGCUUCUGGUAAAUAAGGUCUUUGCACCUCAUUGACCAGAAGGAUACCCCUCUGGCUGAUGAGGUGCAGAUACCUCAUCAAUCAGAAGGUAUCCCUUCUGAUUGAUGAAAUGCAAAGACCUCAUUGACUGGAAGGGAU